rnacentral:rRNA from 1 species
CCUACGGGAGGCAGCAGUGAGGAAUAUUGGUCAAUGGACGAGAGUCUGAACCAGCCAAGUAGCGUGAAGGAUGACUGCCCUAUGGGUUGUAAACUUCUUUUAUAUGGGAAUAAAAUGUUCCACGUGUGGGAUUUUUUAUGUACCAUAUGAAUAAGGAUCGGCUAACUCCGCGCCAGCACCCGCGGUAAUACGGAGGAUGCGAGCGUUAUCCGGAUUUAUUGGGUUUAAAGGGAGCGUAGGUGGAUUGUUAAGUCAGUUGUGAAAGUUUCCGGCUCAACCGUAAAAUUGCAGUUGAUACUGGCAGUCUUGAGUACAGUAGAGGUGGGCGGAAUUCGUGGUGUAGCGGUGAAAUGCUGAGAUAUCACGAAGAACUCCGGUUGCGAAGGCAGCUCACUGGACUAAGACUGACACUGAGGCUCGAAAGUGUGGGUAUCAAACAGGAUUAGAUACCCCAGUAGUC